ensembl:lncRNA uncharacterized LOC107665063
UUUCUCCGGAAGUCCUCACUGAGUGCAAAGAGUUGAACCUGGCUGCAUAAGUUCAAAAGAAACUGGUUUAUUUUUGUGGAAAACCUCCGCGUGAAUUAAAAUUGUGGUCUUUGGUGUGAAGACAUUAAUGUACCGCUUAUACUUCGAGCCAAGUGACCUGUUUUAGGUUCAAACUCUUCUGAGUGUCUUGCAUGGAGAACAUUGUGGUUUACAUUCCCAAGGAAGCAUGUGUCAAAAACAUGCCUCUGCAGUCUCUGUCCAGCUCCACAGCCAGGAAGAUCAGUGUUGCUCUGUUUCCGCAUGGAUCAGAGAAACAGAUGCCCCAGACAGUGACGUGGAUCUGUCCGGUUGAGCUGCGGGAAAAAGAAGUGGCUGUGGGCAAGGACCGCAGAGAACCGGUCCCACUGAGCCAGAGGCCACUGCUCUCCAAAAUAGCUCCAGGCCAAUUUUCACUGCCUGUUGUGAGUUCCAGCAUCACUGCCUUUAAGGUCUUAAGAAAAAUUUUAAAAGCACAUAAGCCUAAAAUACAAUUUUCAGGGCUGGAAAAUGAUGCUGCCUCUCUGCCCAGCAUCAGGGGAUCUGUUCGGCAAAAUGCUAUUAUUGUGUAUAAUGGCCAGAUCUUCCUCUCAGUGAGGAAGUCACAUUGCAGGCGAGUGAGAUUACAAAACUCUCCCUCAGCACCUUCAGGUGUGUGUCCUGUUUCUCCUAGUAAACAGAACCAAAUAAAUACACCUAGAUGUCAGGCGCAACCGCUUCUGGACACUUCACCCAGACCACAACAGAGCAAGAGACAGGAUGUUCAGACUCCAGUCAGAGAUCUUGACAUUAACAUACAGAUUUCACCACUUCUGCACAAAGUCUCUGAAGAAAUGCCUGAGCAAUGCUGUACAGACAAAGAGUGUCAAAAGGAAGAUGAGUCCAGGUCACUGAGUAGCCCACCCAAACCUCCUGAGGAUCUGGAGUCUGAACAGCCUGAAGCAGCAGCAGGAGGAGAAAGAGAGACGCAUGAGGAUGACAAUGAGCGUUUAGAGGGCGCAUUGCUCCCCAGGGCUGAGAGCUGUCUUGCAUUUGAUUUUGAACAGUUGGCCCAGGAGGAGAGAAUCAACCACCUACGAACUCGGCUGAGGCAGAAGGAAGCCGCGCUCAGCAUCUUUAAUGCAAAGCCAACGGAUCAGAUUUAGAGGAGCAGACUGCGCCAAAGAUGUCUGUUCAGGAGGUAUACAAGUUCCUAGUGCAUCAUUUUAUGUGAACAGCAUAAAGGAAGAGUUUACCCAAAAAUGAAAAUUUGGUCAUCAUUUACUCACCCUCAAGUUGUUCCAAAUCUGUAUCAAUUUCUUUCUUCUGCUGAACACAAAAGAAGAUAAUUUUGAAGAAUGUGGGUAGUUGCUGGUCCCCGUUGGCCUACAUAGUAUACGAGCCACUGUGUGGUUACCCACAUUCUUCAAAAGAUCUUCUUUUGUGUUCAUCAGACAAGAAAGACAUUCAUAAAGGGUUGGGACAUCUUGAGGGUGAGUAAAUGAUGACAAAAUUUUCAUUUUUUAGGUGAACUAUCGCUUUAAGAUGAGUAGGUUUGUUAAUUCAAUUGUUUAUAAUUUAAUAGCACAAACAUUGUCAUUUAAAUAAAAUAUUUAUGCCAAAGCAGAGAUUUAUGAACAUAAUGUGUUUGUGCAAUAAAUAC